rnacentral:rRNA from 1 species
UACGUAGGGUGCGAGCGUUGUCCGGAAUUAUUGGGCGUAAAGAGCUUGUAGGCGGUUUGUCGCGUCUGCCGUGAAAUUUCGAGGCUCAACCUCGCGCCUGCAGUGGGUACGGGCAGACUAGAGUGCGGUAGGGGAGAUUGGAAUUCCUGGUGUAGCGGUGGAAUGCGCAGAUAUCAGGAGGAACACCGAUGGCGAAGGCAGAUCUCUGGGCCGUUACUGACGCUGAGGAGCGAAAGCGUGGGGAGCGAACAGG